rnacentral:rRNA from 1 species
GACAGAGGUGCCGAGCGUUAGGCGGAAUCACUGGGCUUAAAGCGUGUGUAGGCGGGUGCCUAAGUACCUUGUGAAAUCCCACGGCUCAACCGUGGAACUGCUUGGUAUACUGGGUAUCUUGAGCCACUUAGGGGCAACCGGAACAAACGGUGGAGCGGUGAAAUGCGUAGAGAUCGGAAAGAACACCAACGGCGAAAGCACUCUGCUGGGCCGACACUGACACUGAGAGACGAAAGCUAGGGGAGCGAAUGGG